GGUUCAUUCAAAAUGGCAGAUGUUAAAGUUUUUUCUAAAUCCAACUGGAUUUUGUUCUCUUUUGUGACUUUCCAAGUUUUAGCCCUCUCAACGGGAAAGCCUGCACCUCAAGAUGAUCCUUGCGCCGAUAAUUCUGAGAGCGACAUGUGUCAAUGUAUGUCCACGUAUUCAAUAAUAUUUGUGAAAGUGUUCAACUUUGGAUUAGGUAGAGCGCUGGCUUAGUGAAACAUUUGUUCCGUAAUUAGAUUCUUUACUUAGUAGGUAUAGUCUACUUUUAAAAGCGCUAGUAUUAGGUGAGAUUCUUAACAAUCUCACCUACUAUAAUCCUAACAAAAUUUCAUGUCGUCCGAUCGACCUCAAACUUGGCCAAAAUGUGUUUCGCU